UUCAGCCAUCUAACCUCUAUAUAUAGAUGCACUUUCACAUGUCUUAUGAGUACAAUGCUACUGCUGCCAACCUCGUCCACAGCUAAAUCUCUCCCGUCGCACUCCCUGCACCAUCACAGAAACACCAUGCAGCCGUAGAAAACCAUAGACCCACGAUGCCGCGACCAAAAGCCUUCUGCCGCUGCACCUGGACUGACCGAAAGAAGAGGGAGCAAAGACACGGUUCACUACACAUUCAACGUUGCGCCACCAUCACCUCGGUGUAGUCCAUUGCUCAGCCCACUUGAACCCAUGUUCCCUCCUUGGACAGCCACUGUUUCUCACCGGAAACUCAGGCUGUUUUGUUCCCUUUCUCCCACACCGAAGCAGAGUAGUUUUCUUUUCUGCUUGCCGCCUGUUCGACCCAGCCCAACAGUCCCAGCCUUGCCGCCGUGCACCACAACACAUUUUUUAGACGCUGCCUAGCCACCACAUGACCCAGCUGAACCACCCAACUCAAGCCAAGUGUCCCCUGUUUUUCCAUACCUGAAACAGAGCAUCUACCAGUUCAUUGUGAACCACUGCAACCAACCCACAACCUCUGCCCAGCCACUGUAGCAACCCACAGCUAAACCACCUCACUUAAACACCUGCCUAGACCUCACUGCCGUAGCCCAUGCCGAAACUCCCUCUGCCUCCCACUCUGUGCUCAACUCUCUCUCUCUCUCUCUCUCUCUCUCUCUCACACACACACAGGGGCCCAACACCGCCAAGCCUCCGUCGCGUUCACUUCCUUGUCGGUGGCGAUUAAUAUUUGUACGGCAUUGUUGAGGAAAUUUUUGAAAGAUUAAGAAGUUCAGAUAAUUUUGAUGGUUUAGCUGGAGAACAAGAGUAUGAAAUUUUAACAAUGUGUGAUGAUCGCAGCAGAAUAAGUGUCCGAUGGUAUAAGUGCUUAUUUGAGAGUCGCAGUUAGUAAAUUGGUUUAUUUACGGGUAUUUUGAUUUGAUGAGUUAAGAAUAUUUUUAAGUUUUUGGAAAGUUUUUAAUUUAUGUUAUUGAGAAUUUCUUUGUUGUCCCUAUGAAAAAACAUGAAUAUUUAAAUUGAGUGAAUAAAUUAAGAUUUUAUGGGGUUUUCUGAAUUUUAUAGUUGUGAUAUUGAAGUUGAUAUUAAGUAAUAAGAACUAACUCUCCGGACUUCCAGGAAUCGAGAGUUACAUACCCCGCCAAACUUCACCCAUGUUACUAUGUGAGGACCCAUGCUGCUCUGGAUGGGAGACAAAUAUGGAUUUUUUUCCAUGGCAUGUAUCUCAUGUUUAUAAUUAAUCAUGCAUAUCUUAUCUCUGUGUAAUUUGGUUGUUUAAUUUAUUGAGAUUUUAUGAAAAUCUCACCCUUGUAGACCCACUAUCAUUCCCCCCGUAAUGAUAGAAGUUAUGUUAAAACUAAUAGAGGAUGAACAUGAUGGACUGCUAG